CGGGAAGAGCACCUGUGUGGGGCUGCUGGAGCGUUUCUACGAGCCCCAGGCCGGGGAGGUGCUGCUGGACGGGGUGCCACUGCGGGAGUAUGACCACAAGUACCUGCACCGCCAGGUGGCACUGGUGGGCCAGGAGCCCGUGCUCUUCUCUGGCUCCAUCCGCGACAACAUUGCCUACGGACUGGAGGGCUGCGGGGAGCAGGAGGUCAGGGCCGCAGCCCGAGCUGCCGACGCCUUGGACUUCAUCUCUGCUCUGGACAAGGGCUUUGACACGGACGUGGGGGAGAAAGGAGGGCAGCUCUCGGCGGGGCAGAAACAGCGGGUCGCYAUCGCCCGGGCCCUCAUCCGGUGCCCCUCCGUCCUCAUCCUCGAUGAGGCCACCAGCGCCCUGGAUGGGGACAGYGAGCUGGCGGUGAGCAGAGGGUGGU
rnacentral:lncRNA from 1 species